UACAGAGGUCUCAAGCGUUGUUCGGAUUCAUUGGGCGUAAAGGGUGCGUAGGUGGCGCGGUAAGUCGGGUGUGAAAUCUCGGAGCUUAACUCCGAAAUUGCAUUCGAUACUGCCGUGCUUGAGGACUGGAGAGGAGACUGGAAUUCAUGGUGUAGCAGUGAAAUGCGUAGAGAUCAUGAGGAAGACCAGUGGCGAAGGCGGGUCUCUGGACCGAUACUGACGCUGAGGCGCGAAAGCGUGGGGGAGCAAACAGG
rnacentral:rRNA from 1 species